CGAAGGGGGCUAGCGUUGUUCGGAAUUACUGGGCGUAAAGCGCACGCAGGCGGUUCGAUUAGUCAGAAGUGAAAGCCCCGGGCUCAACCUGGGAACUGCUUUUGAUACUGUCGAGCUUGAAUCACGGAGAGGGUAGUGGAAUUCCGAGUGUAGAGGUGAAAUUCGUAGAUAUUCGGAAGAACACCAGUGGCGAAGGCGACUACCUGGCCGUCGAUUGACGCUCAUGUGCGAAAGCGUGGGGAGCAAACAGGAUUAGAUACCCUGGUAGUCCACGCCGUAAACGAUGGGUGCUAGUUGUUGGGGUACAUGUACCUCAGUGACGCAGCUAACGCGUUAAGCACCCCGCCUGGGGAGUACGGCCGCAAGGUUA
rnacentral:rRNA from 1 species